UUUUGUGUGGCUGCAGGGAGAGUAACCAACUCCCCUUGCCUGGAUCACUCAAUCCUGGCCUCAAAGUUGGACUCAGGGACAAAAAGGAAACUAUUUCAGUUGGUUUUAUCUAAAUCCCUCGAGUUAGCUGGCUUGUUUCCCAGAAUCUCAUCAACAUGGAGUACGAAGCAACUGGGUUGGCCAGCUCAGAAUGGGAACUAAAUGCCAUUAAGACCUCACCCCCACUGGCUGCUUUAUUUACCUGCCCUUAUUACCAGCCUUGGGCCUUAUCACGGGGUACGGCCUUGAACGAGUCAUUUCCUUCCCUGAGUCUGGGUUUCCUGCUCUUUCAAAUUUUAGAGGGUUUGACAGGGAGAUUUCUGGACUCUGCCCAAACUCUGGAUUUAACCAGGUGUUUGAAUGAAGAAUUUGUUCACAUAUAAAACAGCAUCAGGGACCCUCUAGUGUAAGUGUGCUUCCAGCUAACAAGUGGCUGUGCUGGCAGGGCGGUCGGGGGUGCACCAGACAGCCUCAUACUGACUUUUCCCUUUUUCUGUUUUGUCCCCUAGCUGAAUCCAGUGGGUUUGAUGGGAAUACGGACCUGUUGCUGGAGCCACCUCAUGGAAGAGGCACGAUGCAGGUGGUAUCGCUACGGAUGAUGAAGCCAUUGGCUGAAUGACGCUCCUUCAUCCCAGACAUCCCCACAACUGGAUCUGUUUGGACAUAGAUGCCUGAUUUCCAAUUGGAGAAAGUUCUACAUAAAUAUGAAGGAAGAUCUGGAGCAAUGUGGGUGAAAGAAGGAUGCUGAUCUUAUAGUCCUUUGUUGGAGGGGACUACAGGGGAAGUGGAAUUCUUGGGGCUAGCCAGACUGUGGUUAGAUCAGAGGAGAUGCAUAGCAAAGUAAUUACAUAUGUAGGUAAGUUUCACUAUAAAAAUGCAGAUUCAAGUGAAACAGCAGAAAGAACCCAAGAAGGAGGUUUAGGGAAGUACAGAACAAUGUGAAGAAAGCGUAUUGGACUUUAAGCAGCAAGGAUAUGUGGAGUGGACUAGGAUGAUGUCAUAGGGGAGAGCAAUCCCAAGGUUUGGAACAGUAUUCUGGUAUAAAGUUACUUUGAUAUAAUGUUAAUUCAGUGUGAGGUGGGGGAAUUUUAUCUGUGCAGUGGGUCUGGUUGGCUAGGGGCAAAGUGGGUAGGGAAUCAGACGCUGAGUAAAUUGGGUUCUGUUGAUCCUGAGGUCACCUGAGGACAGAUCUCAAGUCUUCAGAAGCCUGGAACAUAGCUAUUGAGCCAAAAAUGGAUGUUGGUUAAAUGCUACUGAUUAUUUAGUAUUUCAAAAAUAGUAGAUUGAAUAUAUGAGUGAAUAAUGAAUGAUCAAUUCUAUUUUUAACAACUAUAAAGGAACUCAGGAAAAGUCUAACCAGAGAAGGGAUGUGGGCUGGAGUACAGUAGGGAGAGCCAUCAGGGAGUACACUCAAGUGUGACAUUCUCCAGGAUUGGUGUAGGAGAGAGACUUGGAGAAAUACCACGGCUUGGAUGUGUAGAGCGAAUCCUUGAUAUGCAGUGAACAGUAGGUAGCACUCAGACCUGGCCCUGGGGCCAGAGAAAGGAUUCUGGUCCUGGUUUUGCUCCUACUUUCCUAUGUGAUUUUAGGAUAAUCUCAGAAUUUAAGCAGCAAAGGACCUUUGAGUCCUUAGACAUUGAUAAAUCAUUUAACCCCACCCCAACAACCCUUGAUUUAUGUUUAAGCAAAUUGAGGCCCAACGAAGUAAAGUGCUUAGCUCAAGUUCACACAGAUACAGAGUUUGUUCUGGGACACUUGUCUUUAUGCUGGCUCACCCAUGAAUGGGCAAAGACCCCAGAAAAGCCGUGAGUCUGUGGCAGUCUCAAAAAUUUCCAUGGUGCUCAGCUAGACUGCCUUCUCCUGAAAUACUCUCCAAAUUGUACCAUCAAAUGAUGUUCUUUUCCCUCUUGACAUUGUUAGGAAUCUUCUGGUCACAUUUGACAAGUGGAGCAGAACUCAUAGGCUUUGCAAAGACCUUUCAUUAGCCAGAUACAGGAAGGCCUCAUUAAUUUGAGUGAAUCAGUGAAGGCCUAUCAAAAUAAGAUAUUUCAGCCAAACUAAACACUGACCCAAAAACCAGGAUGGGCUUUGUUAGUGUGAAGAGGCAUGCAUAGCAAUCUAUUGAACUAUCACACCAAUGUUCUCUCAAGUAUUAUUUUGUUAGGCUCAAAUCCCUUGCUGAGUGAUAAAUUAGUCUGAAUGAUGCACUCUUUAAAUUUAAAUAACAUUCUGGAUUUUUUCAAAUGUAUACAAUCACUAGCUUUCAGCAUUUUUACAGUGUUACCUAAUGAAGAAGCUUCUCGUAGGUCUAUACCAAAGAUUCAAUUUGGUUGUACAUUAGAAACACUCGUAUUUGUGUAAAGAAUUAAUACUCGUUAUUAUCUCCCUUCUGUUUCUCCAUCUAAGGUUCAGUGGACUUUAUGUUGGAAAAAUUAAAUUUCAGACAGUUUAGCAACCUUUAAUGUCAUUCCUGAAGUUCUGUUUACAAAUCCCCCAAUUAACAAGUUCAAACCAUUUUGGGAAAAUUAUUAAAUUUCAGUUUGCGUGCAAAAGAAAAGGGCAGACAUGAGGUUUGUCUGUUGAAAUCCUGCUGCAUCUUGGCAUUGUUCUAAUAGCAGAGGUUGACAAACUUUUCUGCAAAUGGUCAAAAUAAAUAUUUAGGUAUUGCAUGUCACGUAUGGUCUCUGUCUCAUCACUUUUUCUUCCUUAUCCUACCUGCAUAACGCUUUAAAAAUGAAAAGCCAUUCAUUCUUAGCUUAUAGGCCAGACAAAAACAGUCAUGGGCCAGGUCUGGUUGAUGGGCCAUAGUUUGCCUAACCCUGUACGAGUCUUUGAGUGGCAUGCCUGCAGGUUUGGCAUCCGAUAUAUUUUGUCUUAAUACAUAGGUUUAUAACUGAUGUCCUGGUGGUACAUCAACCUGGACUUAGAGGAGCUCCCAGGCAUUAGUGCUUACAUGAUUGAGAAGUCAUAGAUGUAGACAUAGUAUUUACUAUAAAUCUGGACUCUAGCCAUUUAAACAGAAUUUUACAAAAAAAAUUCAGACUAUUUAAAGAACUUUUAGACCUUAUCAUAAAUCUUAGGUUAAAUAAAACAUGUUCUAGAUAUGUGAGUUUUUUUUCUUUCCCCAGAAAUGUGGCAAUCAUUUCUACAUGCUGAUACAAAUAUCUUCUAAGAGAGCUUUAUAUAAUAUGACCAACAUUCUUAGCAUGUCACAUUUAAAAAGUCUGGCUAAUACUCA